GGAACUAUAGCUCAGCUGGUUAGAGCGCACGCCUGAUAAGCGUGAGGUCGGUGGUUCGAGUCCACUUAGUUCCA
rnacentral:tRNA from 1 species